UUAAAAUUAUUUGGUACCCCCCUUGACACCCCUAUGGCAUUAAUAUACAUAUAUAUAUAUAUAUGUGUGGGUAAAACCACCCUUUAUAGGGGUACUCCUUUUUGUCCUGAAGCAUGAAUGAGGUGUGUCAAGAGUACCUUGGGGAUUGUCAUGUGUUAUGUGUAUGGACAUAAUAACCUAGGCUAGGGCACAUUUACUUAUUCUUAGAAAU